GUUUGAUUUAGCUCCUGUAACAAACUGGCAGUGUGAUUAGCCUCAGGUUCCUUCUAGAAAACUGGUAAAGUCUCAUUGAGAAUUCUGAUCACUGAGGAAUUCAUCAUCUGAAGAAAGGGCUUAUUCAUAACCCGUUGGCCAGUGGCUCGAUAACCGCUCUUCGAGGCCAACAAAUAGUUCACGUGUUAUCGAUAUACUAACUAAAAGAGAAUUAGGUCCUCCUUAGAUGCUGGACAUGUGAGUAUCUUCAAGACUGGUUUAAAAAGUAUCGCCCUUGAUAACAAAAAUUUAAGUUUUUUUUUUUUUUUUAAAGAUGAGAAUGCAGGGGGUGGAGUACCCAGUGUGAUUGACAGCACUUUUCCAAAACUCUGGCCAUCCACUAGCACUCAGUCUGCUUGAAACUUCAAUACCCAUGAUCCUUAUCUCUCCAGACUACUCCAUUAAUGACGUAAAGGACGACACACAUCAUGGUUUUAGAGAAUAUA